CCUGAGUUCUGAGCAGCUGUGUGUUCAUGUGCAGCCACUGAGCAGCAGCUGCAUUUAAAGAACAUCUGGAACUGGAGAAGCUCCAGACAAGAUCCUGGGUUCCACCUUCUUCAGAGUCCUCAUUGGAGGAUUUGAUCUUCCACAGCAACUCCACUUUGUAUCUGAGCCACAAAUACUAAAGUGGGAGUUUAUAUUCAAGAGGAAAAACUGUGUCAAAGAUCAUAAGAAGUCAGAUGGAGCUGAAAUAUUGAUUCUGAGUUAACGUGUUCUCUUUCUCAUAAGAGAUAUAAAAGAGUCAGAGGAGCUUCACAACAGUUCUGGAGCAAAGUGAAUCUACAGCAGAUGUGAAGGAGGAAACUGUGAUGCUUCAAACACUGAGGACAUAAAAGACAAGAUGCAGUGGGACAGGAGAGAGAAUGCAAAGUGUGCGAGGGGUAGAGUUGUGAGUCGGGGCUGAACGGGGCCGAGACUCCUCCUUCUAAUCUGAGUCCAAACACAGAGUCACAGCUUCUUUCCUCUUUCUACUCACAGAGACUCACACUGCAGAUAUGAAGCCUCUGUUCAUCUCACUGCUGCUGGCUGCUCUGUGUCCUGAAGGCAGAGCACAACAAGACAUGGUGCAGCAACCAGGAGGAGACGUGACUGCGACUGGAGGAGAAGCAGCAACACUUGGUUGUCGAUACGUCAGCAGCUCAACAAGUGUGUCUCUCCUCUGGUACAAACAGGAAGGAACCAACAACCCAACAUUCAUCCUGAUCCGCUUUCAACUGGGAGAAGGAAAAACAGCAGAUGACUUCAGAGAGAGAUUUUCAUCCACACUGAAUUCCACCUCGAGAUCAUCUCCUCUGAAGAUCCAGAAGCUGCAGCCGUCUGACUCUGCUGUGUACUACUGUGCUCUGCAGCCCACAGUGACAGGAAACUACACAACUCUGUACAAAAACCUGUGGAGCAAACACACAACUCCUCAUCCUCCACUAGAGGGAGUCACUCACUGUUAAACCUCAGUGGUUUGU